UGGCCCCACUGUGCACCACACACUCCUUUCCCAGCCCAGGGGCACGCGAACAAAAUGAGGCUCAAGCUGACCAGGCCGAGCCGGAGGAACGCUGGGGCUUGGCAGCAGAAGGGAUGGGACCAGAGAGAAGGGUGUGGAGGAGACCCCAGUGAGGGCCAGGACAUUUCAGGUAAAGAGAGGUAAGAAGAGGCCCAGAAGUCAAGGGCCAGACUGUGAAGGUGAUUAGAGGUCAAAAGAGGUCAUAUCUCCGUACCUCACUUCCUGACACAAACAAGUUUUCACUGUUGUCAGCAACAAAGCCCUAAUAUAGCUGCGGAAGAGAAAAACUGCAUUGCAUUUUGCCUCCUGCAAGCAUCAUCAACAGUUACUGGAGGAACGUAAUUCCAGAAAGCUUGAAAGCCGUGGUGAUGGUAAUUAUGUAUCAAAUGCCUGGUUCUAUUUCUGUUAUUAUUGUUUUGUCAUUUCUGUUUUCCCAGCGAUCUGACUGAACUCGCAGAGGGACAAAUCCAGUUUUUCUUUUUGACUUUUGUCAAACUAAAUCAGGCCUGAUAGAAAACUCAUUGCUCUCCGGGGAAACAAAGUAGGAGCCACGAAAUGUCAUUUUAACAGAGCGUGGGUUUGGUGACUGUAGGAAAGGAUUUGAGGACGCUCCUUCUGUUCGGCUUCCUAUGUCAUGAGCACAGGCUCCACGCACGCACAGACACCACGGCUCCCGGAUGCUGUGGCUCCCCGAUCGGGGCUCCUGCAGCGCCAGAAGCCCCUCCGGGAUGCUUCGAGGGGCUCCCGGUGGGUGGAGGUACGGACGCCGCUGCGGCCGCCGCCGCCAGUCCUGCUGCUGUUGUUGCUGCUGCAGUCACGUGGGAGCCCCUUUAAGUUUCCAUAGAGAGGCCUCUCUGGUGUCACAUGAUGGACAUGAUAUAAUGAAACAACAUUGUGGAGAGGAAAGCAUUAGGGGAGCCCACGGCUACAAAAACAAGUGAGUGAGAAGAGGUGGGAGGAAGAGAAACUACGCCACCUCCCCUGCAGCCGAGUGCACGCAGCAGCCUGGCGUGACAAGUGGGCGACGCCGGGGGGCAGGGAGCCGGGGUCCUUGGCCCUGGCCGGGGACCCCACCGCCCACCGCGCGGAGGACAACUUUUAGCCGGCAGCCCAGACCAGCGCGGCACCUGUCUCCGGAGUCUCCACCGCUCCUCCCGAUUCAUCCCAGGGAAAUUCUCAAGAAUACGCUCUACAAAUCUACGUGCGCAUCAUUUUCACCUCGCGUCGCGCCCGGGAGGAAGGAACGAGGCAAGGAGCUAAAGCAGCGUGCGUUCAGCCCUGGGGCAUUUUAUUAAUGCUUUUACGAGUUAGAAGAGUUGGGAUAAUUUGCCAUCUGGAGUUUCUCUGCCUUGCUGAUCUGAGCUCAGACCUGCCAAUUUACCAGAGAUAAUUGAUAACACCCUGUAACAGCUGAGAGGAAAAUGGAAGAAACGGAGAUACUUUUAGUGAAGCAGAAUAAACCACUGAACAGGAAAAAUGAGGAAGCUGUGAGUACCAGUGGAAGGAACGAGCCAGGAAGAGGGACUGGAACCAUCUCAGAAGCCAUGCCCCUCAGGCUGGAACUUGCCCUGUCUCCUCGCAGAUGAGCUACCUCUUGUGUUUAAGAAUUAAAGGAAGAUGAGCUAGGAAUCAAGAAAUACGCAGAACUGAUUCCUGUCACUGGCGCCACCCUGCCACUUGCCCAGAGCUGUGGUAUAAAUUUUUUUAAUAGGCUGAAAUAAAAAUAUGAAUAGCAUUUUGGUAUUAAGCAUUAAAUUGAUAAAGGCUAUGAGAUACACCUGCUCUCAACCAUGUUAAUUUUUUAUUAUUGGUAUUAAUAAAUUAUUACUUACUAACAUAUUAACAAGAAUUGCAUUGAGAAACAAAGCAUCCACAGGCCAAAUCUUCUGAAUUUCAAAUGUUUAUAUUAAUGCGUUGUAUUCUAGAAAAGUAGAAUUGUCUUAAGUAGCUUUGUAAUAUAAAGUCAUCUAUCAGCCCAUUACACCUAUUAGAAUGUUUUAACCUUUAUUUCCCACUUUUUUGUUUCUAGACUGAGUGUACUUGGUCUGGUAUUUGUGGCAUAACUUACGGAACACAUAAGAAUGAUACAGAUACUAUUUAAUGAUGACCUAAUACAAGCUUAGAUAGCUAAGGUGAAAGCUUCUAUGGCCUUAACAUUUUCCUCUUGAAGAAUGUAUUUUCUGUAAUAAAAUACAGUGGCUACUUGAAAUCUAUAAACUUAUGUGAGGUCUGGAUAAAUCUGAGCAACUUUCUUCUUUGUGCUCCAGGAACCUACGCACUAUAUAUAUAAAUAAAGCUUAAGUAAACAUCACUGCAAUCUGUGUUUUGUUUGAUUAUAUUACGUAUUGCCUGAUCUUUAA
rnacentral:lncRNA from 1 species